GGGUGAUUAGCUCAGUUGGUAGAGUACCUCCCUUACAAGGAGGGGGUCGUAGGUUCAAAUCCUGCAUCACCCA
rnacentral:tRNA from 1 species